UGGGGAAUAUUGCACAAUGGGCGCAAGCCUGAUGCAGCGACGCCGCGUGAGGGAUGACGGCCUUCGGGUUGUAAACCUCUGUUAGCAGGGAAGAAGAGAGAUUGACGGUACCUGCAGAGAAAGCGCCGGCUAACUACGUGCCAGCAGCCGCGGUAAUACGUAGGGCGCGAGCGUUGUCCGGAAUUAUUGGGCGUAAAGAGCUUGUAGGCGGUUUGUCGCGUCUGCUGUGAAAGGCCGGGGCUUAACCCCGUGUAUUGCAGUGGGUACGGGCAGACUAGAGUGCAGUAGGGGAGACUGGAAUUCCUGGUGUAGCGGUGGAAUGCGCAGAUAUCAGGAGGAACACCGAUGGCGAAGGCAGGUCUCUGGGCUGUAACUGACGCUGAGAAGCGAAAGCAUGGGGAGCGAACAGGAUUAGAUACCCUGGUAGUCCAUGCCGUAAACGUUGGGCACUAGGUGUGGGGGACAUUCCACGUUUUCCGCGCCGUAGCUAACGCAUUAAGUGCCCCGCCUGGGGAGUACGGCCGCAAGGCUAAAACUCAAAGAAAUUGACGGGGGCCCGCACAAGCGGCGGAGCAUGCGGAUUAAUUCGAUGCAACGCGAAGAACCUUACCAAGGCUUGACAUAUACUGGACCGCAUCAGAGAUGGUGUUUCCCUUCGGGGCUGGUAUACAGGUGGUGCAUGGUUGUCGUCAGCUCGUGUCGUGAGAUGUUGGGUUAAGUCCCGCAACGAGCGCAACCCUCGUUCUAUGUUGCCAGCACGUUAUGGUGGGGACUCAUAGGAGACUGCCGGGGUCAACUCGGAGGAAGGUGGGGAUGACGUCAAAUCAUCAUGCCCCUUAUGUCUUGGGCUUCACGCAUGCUACAAUGGCCGGUACAGAGGGUUGCGAUACUGUGAGGUGGAGCUAAUCCCUAAAAGCCGGUCUCAGUUCGGAUUGGGGUCUGCAACUCGACCCCAUGAAGUCGGAGUCGCUAGUAAUCGCAGAUCAGCAACGCUGCGGUGAAUACGUUCCC
rnacentral:rRNA from 1 species